UACGUAGGGGGCUAGCGUUGUCCGGAAUCAUUGGGCGUAAAGCGCGCGUAGGCGGCCCGAUAAGUCUGCUGUGAAAGUCCAGGGCUCAACCCUGGAAUGCCGGUGGAUACUGUCGGGCUAGAGUCCGGAAGAGGCGAGUGGAAUUCCUGGUGUAGCGGUGAAAUGCGUAGAUAUCGAGAGGAACACCUGCGGCGAAGGCGGGUUGCUGGGCUGAUACUGACGCUGAGGCGCGAAAGCCAGGGGAGCGAACGGG
rnacentral:rRNA from 1 species